UCUUCGUUCUUUAUUAUUCUUCUCCUCCUUAUCUCUUCUUCUUCUCUUCACCUGCAAUUGAUAAUCGAAAGAUAAAUGAAGGAUUUGAGAUCAUAGAAAGAGCAAAUCGAGUGAUAGUGAUUAUGUGAGUUUGUAUGGUUGAUUCGAAUGCAACAUAAAAUGCAAAUCUGGGUGUAUAAUCUGGAUUACAAAGACGACGCAGAGGAAAGGAAGAACAAGAGAGGAAUCAGUAAGUAAUAAGAUAUGGGUGGAGUUGGAUGUAUAAAGAGUACAAACAAGAUUCCAGUUUCUUUUCAUACUUAUGUUACACAAGUGUCAUUGGUGAUCUUCGUAAGGUGUCCUGUCUUUCUGUUUAUAUUGUUAAUUGUUUUUGGGUACGGUUACCUGUCUUUCUGUUUAUAUCGUUUUUUAGUAUGGUUACCGGUUUAAUUUUCUUUUCUACCUUUGUUGUUUUAGAUUCCACUUUCAGUUUAUAGGGGAAACAGUAAACUGGUGAAAUAUUGAAUUAAAUUUAAUCAGUCUUUGACGCUCUCAACUGGUGAAAUGUUCUUCUAAGUUAAGAACAACCAAACAAGUACUAAUCUCAUGGAUUCAAGUUAAUUAAUCUGAAGUAAGUGACUCAUCGAAGAAAAUUUGAAAGUUUGGUGUAAUAUUAACACAUUUAUAUGAAAGUUAUUUUAUAUACAAGUUUUGUUGGGAAGAUA